GACUCUUUCAUUUUCUCUCUUCUCUAGAUUCCGUCGAGACUCUUUCGUCUUCUUCUUCUUCCCUCUUCACUCGUUUCUAUCGAUCCAAAGAUCCGUCCUCUCUCUUCUUCUCCGUGAGAAAUCCGCCCUGAAAUCGAGGAAUCCGCCGUGAGAACUCCCCGUGUCUUCUCUUUAAAAUAGAGAUGGAUACGAGUAUGUUCGGUUCGUCUUUUGGUUUCUUAGGUUGAUAAAUAGAAGGAGAAGGCGAGGGAGCAUGAGCAAGAGAAUGAAUAUGAGAAAAAGAAGGAGAAUAAGAUUUGGUGGUUGAGUUUUUAGAUACAAUUGUGUUCAGUUUGUCUUUUUGUUUCUUAUGUUGAUGUAUAAAUUUAAGUGUUUAGGUACAACUGGUACGCUCAGGUACAACUAUGUAUCUGGGUUUAUGAUUUUUUGAUAAAAAAAAACUAUCCAAUUAUGUAUGAAUCUAUGAAUCUUAAUCUUAACAUCUUUAUGUGUGAAUAUAA